ACGACUGCUAAGACUGGAUAGGAGACAAGAAGGCAUCUUCUUGUUUUUAAAAGACCUAGCAAUAGGUAUGCUUAGGGAGGAGCUUGCGUCACAUUAGUUAGUUGGUGGGGUAAAGGCCUACCAAGACUAUGAUGUGUAGCCGGGCUGAGAGGUUGAACGGCCACAUUGGGACUGAGACACGGCCCAAACUCCUACGGGAGGCAGCAGUAGGGAAUUUUCGGCAAUGGAGGAAACUCUGACCGAGCAACGCCGCGUGAACGAUGAAGUAUUUCGGUACGUAAAGUUCUUUUAUUAGGGAAGAAUAAAUGAUGGAAAAAUCAUUCUGACGGUACCUAAUGAAUAAGCCCCGGCUAACUAUGUGCCAGCAGCCGCGGUAAUACAUAGGGGGCAAGCGUUAUCCGGAAUUAUUGGGCGUGAAGGGUGCGUAGGCGGUUAAAUAAGUUUAUGGUCUAAGUGCAAUGCUCAACAUUGUGAUGCUAUAAAAACUGUUUAGCUAGAGUAAGAUAGAGGCAAGUGGAAUUCCAUGUGUAGUGGUAAAAUGCGUAAAUAUAUGGAGGAACACCAGUAGCGAAGGCGGCUUGCUGGGUCUUUACUGACGCUGAGGCACGAAAGCGUGGGGAGCAAACAGGAUUAGAUACCCUGGUAGUCCACGCCGUAAACGAUGAGUACUAAACGUUGGGUAAAACCAGUGUUGAAGUUAACACAUUAAGUACUCCGCCUGAGUAGUACGUACGCAAGUAUGAAACUUAAAGGAAUUGACGGGACUCCGCACAAGCGGUGGAUCAUGUUGUUUAAUUCGAAGGUACCCGAAAAACCUCACCAGGUCUUGACAUGCUUCUGCAAAGCUGUAGAAACACAGUGGAGGUUAUCAGUUACACAGGUGGUGCAUGGUUGUCGUCAGCUCGUGUCGUGAGAUGUUGGGUUAAGUCCCGCAACGAGCGCAACCCUUAUUGUUAGUUACCAGCACGUAAUGGUGGGGACUUUAGCAAGACUGCCAGUGAUAAAUUGGAGGAAGGUGGGGACGGCGUCAAAUCAUCAUGCCCCUUAUGACCUGGGCUACAAACGUGAUACAAUGGCUGUUACAAAGGGUAGCUGAAGCGCAAGUUUUUGGCGAAUCUCAAAAAAACAGUCUCAGUUCGGAUUGAAGUCUGCAACUCGACUUCAUAAAGUUGGAAUCGCUAGUAAUCGCGAAUCAGCAUGUCGCGGUGAAUACGUUCGCGGGGUUUGUACACACCGCCCGUCA
rnacentral:rRNA from 1 species